GCUGGGAUCCAUUGGUAUGAACACCCAGGCUGCUGGAAGCUUUGCUAACCAAGCACUUAAGGCAAGCCUGGGCUCCUCGGUGAUGCCAAAGGUGAAGGCCAUAACCACCGUUAAAAUCACACCAACACCAACUGGUAACAGACUUCAAGCAAGCUACAGACAGCCGAGGACUCCUCAUGUGAGCAGCAACAUACUGAAAUGCAGCCACAAGGACAAGCAACCAAAGGCCGUGGAACAUCUGCGUGCAUGUGAGGAGGGGACACUUCACCAAGGGCACAUGAUGGGUCCAGCACAAGAGUGCCCUGUCUGUGGCAGACAGUAAGUACCUGUGACCGAAGGGCCGUCCAGACUUUCAUACUCCUGGCAACAACCAACCCAGGAUCUGAAACAGCACCCUGAUUAAAGUGACAAUUUCCCCAAGACACUAAAGCAUUAAACUAAGUGACAAGCUCAUCACCUCCUCUCCAUGACAUGUAGGUGUUAUAAAAAAAAAGCUGUAGGGCUGAUGUGAGAUCCAUGAGGAAGGAAAGAGGGACAUCAUACACUGUACGACAGUCGACCCAGGGCUGCCUGAGCCAGCCUCUCUCCACUGCGGGGUGUGCUCA